rnacentral:lncRNA from 1 species
CCCGGACGAAUACCUUCUUCCCCUUGAGGUCGGCGGCGGUGAGGUCCCCCACGCUCUUCUUGGCCAUGGACGCCACCCCGCGCGACCCCUUCCCGCUCCUCCCGGCCACGGACCUGAUCUUCGCCGCCACGUGCGCCGCCAGAAGCGGGUCGGCCGCGGCCCCGGCGAAACCCAGCCGCCGAAGCGGCGAACGGAGGGCUACCGCGCCGGAGAGUAGCGCCGCCGCCGUCGUCGACCGCCUGCGGGAGGAGGUCGGGAGGAGGGAGAAGGAGGUGGCGGCGGUGGAAGCCAUGGAUCGUAAACUCUUCGCAAAGGCGAGAGCGAGAGAGAGAGAGAGAGAGAGAGAGAGAGAGAGAGAGAGAAGCCAAGCAAGGAGGUCGCGGAGACACGAGUGAUGGAUUAAAAAGUAAGGAGGAGGGGGAAUGUGAUGUGGAGCAGAAGCGGGGGUUCGUGGAUUUUUCUUAUCGCUGAAGAGCGGUGGAGAGCGAGGGGUUCGAUGAGAAGAUUUGGGCUUCGUUUGUGGCGUGGGGUGGGAGAAAGGAAGGUGGAGAUGACGAAGUCGU